GGCUGUGGCUCCCUGUUUAAGGACCACGAGUGGUCAUGAGUUUUGUUUCUUGUCUUUGUUUCCACUAGGAAUGAGCGAAAGGUGAUGCUAGUGAUGACUGAGGGAACAGAAGGGAAUCCCUUCUUCAGAGAAACAUGAAGCUUCAUAGCAUUAAAGGGCAGUCUAUCUCUGCCAUAACUUGAAACCAUAGGUCUGAAACACAUGGAUUUCAUCUACACUGGAUGUGAAACAAAAACAUAAGGAGAUUCCCUCUGCUCAGCGCAUAAUUCAUGGGGAUCAAGGACAAACCAAGCCUCUGGUAUUUACUGCUGGAAAGCUGAUGAUAUGGAUGUUCAGUGCUAAUAACUCUGAGGCCACAGUGAAGAAAUUGAAAAAGGCUGGUGGGUGGACAGUCAAAUGA
rnacentral:lncRNA from 1 species